rnacentral:rRNA from 1 species
AACGAACGCUGGCGGCAUGCCUAACACAUGCAAGUCGAACGAGACCUUCGGGUCUUGUGGCGCACGGCUGCGUAACGCGUGGGAACCUUCCCUUAUGUUCGGAAUACCUCCCCGACAGGGGUGCUAAUACCGGAUAAUGUCUUCGGCCCAAAGAUUUAUCGCCCUUGGAGGGGCCCUCGUUGGAUUAGCUAGUUGGUAGGGUAAAAGCAUACCAAGGCGAGGAUCCAUAGCUGGUCUGAGAGGAUGAUCAGCCACACUGGGACUGGGACACGGCCCAGACUCCUACGGGAGGCAGCAGUGGGGAAUAUUGGAAAAUGGGCGAAAGGCUGAUGCAGCAAUGCCGCGUGAGUGAUGAAGGCCUUAGGGUUGUAAAGCUCUUUUACCCGGGAUGAUAAUGACAGUACCGGGAGAAUAAGCUCCGGCUAACUCCGUG